AUUGAACGCUGGCGGCAUGCUUUACACAUGCAAGUCGAACGGCAGCGCGGGCUUCGGCCUGGCGGCGAGUGGCGAACGGGUGAGUAAUGCAUCGGAACGUGCCCAGUAGUGGGGGAUAGCCCGGCGAAAGCCGGAUUAAUACCGCAUACGACCUGAGGGUGAAAGCGGGGGACCGAAAGGCCUCGCGCUAUUGGAGCGGCCGAUGUCGGAUUAGCUAGUUGGUGGGGUAAAGGCUUACCAAGGCGACGAUCCGUAGCUGGUCUGAGAGGACGACCAGCCACACUGGGACUGAGACACGGCCCAGACUCCUACGGGAGGCAGCAGUGGGGAAUUUUGGACAAUGGGGGCAACCCUGAUCCAGCCAUGCCGCGUGCGGGAAGAAGUCCUUCGGGUUGUAAACCGCUUUUUUUCGGGAAGAAAUCCUCUGGGCUAAUACCCCGGGGGGAUGACGGUACCGGAAGAAUAAGCACCGGCUAACUACGUG
rnacentral:rRNA from 1 species